UACGGAGGGUGCAAGCGUUGUUCGGAAUCAUUGGGCGUAAAGGGCGCGUAGGCGGGUCGUUAAGUCCGACGUGAAAUCCCUCGGCUCAACUGAGGAAGUGCAUCGGAUACUGGCGGUCUUGAGUCCUGGAGAGGGUAGCGGAAUUCCCAGUGUAGAGGUGAAAUUCGUAGAUAUCGGGAGGAACACCGGUGGCGAAGGCGGGUCUCUGGGCCGAUACUGACGCUGAGGAGCGAAAGCGUGGGGAGCGAACAGG
rnacentral:rRNA from 1 species